UCUACCACCCAUAAACAGGACCCCAAACCAAACAGAAUAUUCACAGAGGUACACUACUAGGAAUUCACAACAAGAUCAAAGAAGUCAAAGUACCCUUUCACACAAGCAGAUUGGGACUGGAUUACAACAAUAUGGAAGAAGUAACAGUAACUUUUUACAGCAAGGAAGAUAUCAGGUACAGUCAAACUUUGUUUGCUCGAACUGGGAGGGCCUGUGGAAAUUUGUUCGUAAUCGGUAGUUCCAGCCAUUUUUUACUGAGGUUGAACUACUGUAUGUGUAGAAAUAUUCACAGGCUUCAAAUUUUUCAUAAUCU